AUUGAACGCUGGCGGCAGGCCUAACACAUGCAAGUCGAGCGGUAGCACAGAGAGCUUGCUCUCGGGUGACGAGCGGCGGACGGGUGAGUAAUGUCUGGGAAACUGCCUGAUGGAGGGGGAUAACUACUGGAAACGGUAGCUAAUACCGCAUAAUGUCGCAAGACCAAAGUGGGGGACCUUCGGGCCUCAUGCCAUCAGAUGUGCCCAGAUGGGAUUAGCUAGUAGGUGGGGUAAUGGCUCACCUAGGCGACGAUCCCUAGCUGGUCUGAGAGGAUGACCAGCCACACUGGAACUGAGACACGGUCCAGACUCCUACGGGAGGCAGCAGUGGGGAAUAUUGCACAAUGGGCGCAAGCCUGAUGCAGCCAUGCCGCGUGUGUGAAGAAGGCCUUCGGGUUGUAAAGCACUUUCAGCGGGGAGGAAGGCGUUAAGGUUAAUAACCUUGGCGAUUGACGUUACCCGCAGAAGAAGCACCGGCUAACUCCGUGCCAGCAGCCGCGGUAAUACGGAGGGUGCAAGCGUUAAUCGGAAUUACUGGGCGUAAAGCGCACGCAGGCGGUCUGUCAAGUCGGAUGUGAAAUCCCCGGGCUCAACCUGGGAACUGCAUUCGAAACUGGCAGGCUAGAGUCUUGUAGAGGGGGGUAGAAUUCCAGGUGUAGCGGUGAAAUGCGUAGAGAUCUGGAGGAAUACCGGUGGCGAAGGCGGCCCCCUGGACAAAGACUGACGCUCAGGUGCGAAAGCGUGGGGAGCAAACAGGAUUAGAUACCCUGGUAGUCCACGCCGUAAACGAUGUCGAUUUGGAGGUUGUGCCCUUGAGGCGUGGCUUCCGGAGCUAACGCGUUAAAUCGACCGCCUGGGGAGUACGGCCGCAAGGUUAAAACUCAAAUGAAUUGACGGGGGCCCGCACAAGCGGUGGAGCAUGUGGUUUAAUUCGAUGCAACGCGAAGAACCUUACCUGGUCUUGACAUCCACAGAACUUAGCAGAGAUGCUUUGGUGCCUUCGGGAACUGUGAGACAGGUGCUGCAUGGCUGUCGUCAGCUCGUGUUGUGAAAUGUUGGGUUAAGUCCCGCAACGAGCGCAACCCUUAUCCUUUGUUGCCAGCGGUUAGGCCGGGAACUCAAAGGAGACUGCCAGUGAUAAACUGGAGGAAGGUGGGGAUGACGUCAAGUCAUCAUGGCCCUUACGACCAGGGCUACACACGUGCUACAAUGGCAUAUACAAAGAGAAGCGACCUCGCGAGAGCAAGCGGACCUCAUAAAGUAUGUCGUAGUCCGGAUUGGAGUCUGCAACUCGACUCCAUGAAGUCGGAAUCGCUAGUAAUCGUAGAUCAGAAUGCUACGGUGAAUACGUUCCCGGGCCU
rnacentral:rRNA from 1 species